GCCAGCCUUCCUCUUCAACUCCGGAGUCAUACUCUUCCUCGGAUGAAUCUUUAGUCGGAGUCCUACAAUUAAAAUGAACUGAUCAGCACUGAAGUCAUCAUUUCAACAGGAAUUCAGCCAACCAGCCACCUCCAGGAACUCCUUUCCCCAUCCUUUCACCUUUGUGGGAAGCAGAGCCUCAACCCCUCUCAAGAAUACCAGCAGAAAUAUCUUGCAAACAGCCCGGGUAGCCAUCAACUUUGAGCUACUUCAGACUAAGGGAAUCAGAGGAGCCAGUUUUGAUUUUUUUCUCCAAGAAUUUCAAUGCCCUGCCUAUUACUAAGGACUAACAAUGAUAAUUCCCCCCCUUCUUCAGGAAAUUCAACACAAUCACCCAUUUAAACAGAGUGUUAUAUGUUCUUGAUAAAGUCAUUGUACUAUUUACCCACAGACAGGCACACGUCAAGUUAAAACAAAUGUCAUGUAUUUACAUUUAUUUGGUAAUUUACAGUUAUUUUUAUAUUUUUAAUCAGAAAGAAGCCAAGGUGUCUCGACUAUGUAGCAAGUGCCCUUUACCUACUGUGUAUGGCACAUAGAAAGAAGGAUUCUUGGUUUUAAAAGGUGCGCACAAUUUUUAUUUUCUUGUUUCUAACGCACCUAAUUGACAAGCAGUAGGGCACUUGCCUAGAUGUGCUACCAGUCUGCUGUGGUAUUGCCAUUCCUAUUUUACCUAAUGUAUCCUGGCUCUUUUUUGCCUUCUACAACAUCUUUGUCGACCUCCACACAUACAAUAUCAGAAUUCGGUACUUCGAACAUGGGCUCCAACAACAACUUCUCCUACGAGGAAAGAAAAACAAACGUGUAUUUCACCUAGUCCUUCACACAAUAAUGGUUGGUUGGGUACUCUGUUAGAAGAAAUCUGACUACCCUUACCACUGGGAAAAGGUUUAUUCUCCAUAACUGAACAUCCCACUUAAAUUACCCUUAAAGAACAAGCUCUCUUGACAAGGACAAUGCGCAUAAUUCAAAUACAUCUACUCAGGAUGCAAAUAAUUAGUGCUACUUAAUAAAGAGCUCACCAUUAUAGAU